CGCUGGCGGCGUGCCUAACACAUGCAAGUCGAACGGAGUAGAGAGCUUCGGCUUUCUACUUAGUGGCGAACGGGUGAGUAACGCGUGAGAAACCUGCCUUUCAGUGGGGGACAACAGUUGGAAACGACUGCUAAUACCGCAUAAUGUUAUUUGGGGGCAUCCCCGGAUAACCAAAGAUUUAUUGCUGAAAGAUGGUCUCGCGUCUGAUUAGCUAGAUGGCGGGUAACGGCCCACCAUGGCGACGAUCAGUAGCCGGUCUGAGAGGAUGAACGGCCACAUUGGGACUGAGAUACGGCCCAGACUCCUACGGGAGGCAGCAGUGGGGAAUAUUGGGCAAUGGGGGAAACCCUGACCCAGCAACGCCGCGUGAAGGAAGAAGGCCUUCGGGUUGUAAACUUCUUUUAGCAGGGACGAAUUCUGACGGUACCUGCAGAAAAAGCAACGGCUAACUACGUG
rnacentral:rRNA from 1 species